UACGUAGGGUGCAGGCGUUAAUCGGAAUUACUGGGCGUAAAGUGUGCGCAGGCGGCCGCGCAAGUCGAGUGUGAAAGCCCCGGGCUUAACUUGGGAAUUGCGCUCGAAACUACGUGGCUGGAGUGUGGCAGAGGAAGGUGGAAUUCCAGGUGUAGCGGUGAAAUGCGUAGAGAUCUGGAGGAACACCGAUGGCGAAGGCAGCCUUCUGGGCCAACACUGACGCUCAUGCACGAAAGCGUGGGGAGCAAACAGG
rnacentral:rRNA from 1 species